UAGGGAAUCUUCCGCAAUGGACGAAAGUCUGACGGAGCAACGCCGCGUGAACGAUGAAGGCCUUCGGGUCGUAAAGUUCUGUUGUUAGGGAAGAACAAGUACCGUUCGAAUAGGUCGGUACCUUGACGGUACCUAACGAGAAAGCCACGGCUAACUACGUGCCAGCAGCCGCGGUAAUACGUAGGUGGCAAGCGUUGUCCGGAAUUAUUGGGCGUAAAGCGCGCGCAGGCGGUCUCUUAAGUCUGAUGUGAAAGCCCACGGCUCAACCGUGGAGGGUCAUUGGAAACUGGGAGACUUGAGUGCAGAAGAGGAGAGUGGAAUUCCAUGUGUAGCGGUGAAAUGCGUAGAUAUAUGGAGGAACACCAGUGGCGAAGGCGACUCUCUGGUCUGUAACUGACGCUGAGGCGCGAAAGCGUGGGGAGCAAACAGGAUUAGAUACCCUGGUAGUCCACGCCGUAAACGAUGAGUGCUAGGUGUUAGGGGUUUCGAUGCCCUUAGUGCCGAAGUUAACACAUUAAGCACUCCGCCU
rnacentral:rRNA from 1 species